ensembl:lncRNA
UUUCUGCUGUUAAAUGUUCCAGUCAAUAAACACCACUCAUUUCUAUGGCAGUUUAACUUUUCGGUUCCUUUUCACUCUCUGUCAUUUUAAUGUGGUCUUUUUUUAUUGAAUUGAAUUGAAUUGAAUUGAAUUGAAUUGAAUUUUUUUUAAACAUGUUUUUUAUUAGCAGUUUAUUUUCACAUUUUGUUCUCACAACUGUGUGCUCCAAUCUAUAUAAUCAGCCUAAACUCUUCCCACAAAGCAAUAAACCAUGCAUAAUGCCCCCUGGCUGCCAGAGGCAAAUAAAUAAUUAAAUAAAUAAAUACAAAACAUAUAUAUCAUCAGUAUACUUAAAGCUGAAGUGUGUAGAGCCACUAGUGUCAUCAAACGGAAUGGUAACACUUUACAAUAAGUUCAUUAGUUAACUACUUUAGUUAACAAGAACUAAUAAUGAACAAUACUUCUACAGCAUUUAUUAAUCUUAGCUAAUGUUAAUUUCAACAUUUACCAAUGCAUUAUUAAAAUCAAAACCUGUACUUGUUAACAUUAGUUAAUGCACUGUGAAUUAACAUGAACGACUCUAUUUUCAUUAACUAACAUUAACAAAGUAUACAUACUGUAAUAAAUGUAUUGUUCAUUGUUUGUUCAUGUUAGUUAAUACAUCAACUAACACUGACUAAAGUAAAUGUCCCGAGCACACCCUCUGUCUUCCAUUGGUUGGACAAACUCAUGCUCCACCCCAAACUCACUCCAUUGGUUGAGCCACUGUUGCUGUAUCAUGUGAAACCUGAAUCUGUUCUUAAGCAUGUGUCCAUAUCCACACAAAUACACACCUCUGUCUUUAAUCCAAUCAUUUUUACUAUCAUAGUGAAACUGACUUCAAGAGAGAUGGAUGUAUAAAGGCUGUCCUCCUACACACAGGGAUCCGUAUGAACGUACGCACACAUGCACAGAGAGACCUGUUUAACAACAGGCCUCAUUAUCCCACUGUGACAGCCAUUUCAAAUGCUGCGCUCCCAUGCAGAAAACCAGCAGUCUGUUAGAGGCUGUGUAUUCUUGCAGUGGGUAGUUUUCUGAGCAUGCUUAUACACACACGCUAACAUACACAAACACACAAGUACACACUUAACAGCAGCUGUUUUCUGUUCAGGUUUUGGCAACCCGGGAAACAUUCCUUUGUGGGCUAUGUUGGCACACCAUCGCACACAAGUAAACAAGAGUGGGCAGGGAUGCACAUGUGUGCACACACAAACACAUAUGUAUCACCAAUAAUAUUCCAUCUCCCUCACGUAUGGUCAAUACAUAUUAUGCCCUUGUAAUUGUCAUUGUGAGGUUUGAACCAUACACACACACACACACACACACACACACAUACACAAUUAAACAGGGAUUACAAGCUAAAGCUCCUGGAUACAACACACAUUAAAUAGGGUGACCAAACGUGCCAUUUUCCCAGGACACGUCCUGGCCA